AUACGAAGGGUGCAAGCGUUAAUCGGAAUUACUGGGCGUAAAGCGCGCGUAGGUGGUUCGUUAAGUUGGAUGUGAAAGCCCCGGGCUCAACCUGGGAACUGCAUCCAAAACUGGCGAGCUAGAGUAUAGCAGAGGGUGGUGGAAUUUCCUGUGUAGCGGUGAAAUGCGUAGAUAUAGGAAGGAACACCAGUGGCGAAGGCGACCACCUGGGAUAAUACUGACACGGAGGUGCGAAAGCGUGGGGAGCAAACAGGAUUAGAUCCCCUGGUAGUCCACGCCGUAAACGAUGUCGACUAGCCGUUGGGAGCCUUGAGAUCUUAGUGGCGCAGCUAACGCAUUAAGUCGACCGCCUGGGGAGUACGGCCGCAAGGUUAAAACUCAAAUGAAUUGACGGGG
rnacentral:rRNA from 1 species